GAAUUAAACCUCUCUGGAAACACUGAGAGCUCACAACACAAUUGAUCUUGAGAACGUAACGGGGUUAAAAAUUGAGAAAAAAAUGUACAAUAGUGAUACACCUCAAAUCAUAAUGACAAAUCAUGCUAUUAUAUUAUAUUAUCUCGCUUAGCACACUAUUAUUAUCCGUGGCUGUUUUUAUUUAUUCAAUUAAAACAGUUACACGUUUUAAAUUGGAAUUCAGAAUUCUCACAAAUGUUACGCUGAACGUGUUUAACAAAUCUACUACGAUUGAGAGAAAUCUUAAUUUUGAGAUCAACAAAUCAGAUCAAGUGCAAGCUCACGUUUAUCUUCGACCGUCAACCAGGUUUUCUGGAACUGAGAAUUCAAUUGGUAUUUGGGUUUACCUCUUCAUUACGCAAUCAAAAAUAAAAUAUCGGCAAUGAUAUAUCCUUGUCAUUUGCAUAACAAAAAAUAGCUAGUCAAUAAAUAAAUUGACAAUAACUGCCCAGGCAAAGUAUGUAAUGCCAAACAGUCAAAAAAAUGAAAGAAGAAAUGCAAAAUUAGCACCAUUUUUGAGAGAACAAAUGAAUCAGAAGAAACAUAUUUUUUGUUGCAUCAAAAGCUAGGAUGUCAUUUUGAAUUGCACUAAGUUUUCUUUCUAGCUCUAACCCUAAAACUAACUUUUGUCCAAACUAAUGCUAGACCUAACUCUAAC